GGGGGGGGGAGAUCCAAAGAAAGGCAAGAAGGAAGGAAGCAAAGGAGGCAGGGAAGACAGAGAGAAAAGGGGUAGGGGAAGGAGGUGGAAGAAGGAGAUAAAGAACAAGGGAGCGAAAGAGACAUCGCGUCUGCGAAUCCCCGGGAGCUGAAUUACAGCGCAUCUCUUGUUCACAUCUCUAACUCAAAAGCAUCCCGUUCUCCCCGGAAACCACUCUUCUUUUCUCCAAGCUCGCAGUUUGUGGAAUGUAAAGCGAGUACUGCAAUGCAGCUCAGUGUCUUCUCCCAGAAUGGAGCAGAGAGUUAAGCGACGGUGUGUAGGGGAAUGAGGGAGUAGAGAAAAGGAGAAGGAGACUGGGGGGUGGGAGGGUGGAGGGAAGGGAGGCGGUGGGGAGCUGCCUGAGGCAGACCACUCUAUAUCUGCCAUUUUUUAAAAAAUCAAAAUAAAUAAUCAAAAUAGCACUUGUUCCUUCUAUUUAAAAAUCGAAAUCAUAUCAAUCCACUAGAGUAGCCCAGUCCCUUCUAGGGAAAUCAGAAUCCUGGGAGUCCCCACCUAAGCCGGCUCCCUUUACCAAAAGGAGAGGAAAAGGACAUGCAAUUUAUAUGCCACCGCGAAAUAAAUCCGGUUACAAAACUUGCUCUUUUUUUUUUCCUUUCUUCCUUUUUUUUUUUUCAGGGAUGGGGGAGAUAUUUUACCUUCCAUUGCUGCAACUGCAGAUGCCAAGAGGAAAAGCAUUAAAGAAUCCAGUGCCAUCGUCUUUCUUUACUUUAAAUAUUCCCUGGAUCCCCUGCCGAGGAGUUGAUGGAGCUGUGAAACAGGAGCUACAUUUGGAGUCAGAAAACCUACAUUCAAAUACAGCUUUGACACCUACCACCUUGGGCAAGUCGCUUACUAUCUCUAGGCCUCAGUUUCCUCAUCUGUAAAAUGAGGGAGUUGGACAAGAAGAUGUUUAAGGUCAGUUCUAGCUCAGAGUCUAUGAAUUUCCAUUGUAGACUUCAUCUUUCUGGAUGACACAUCCCCUUGCAGUGUCAACCCUAUCAUUUUUUCCUAAUUUUACA
rnacentral:lncRNA from 1 species